UACGUAGGGGGCUAGCGUUGUCCGGAAUCAUUGGGCGUAAAGCGCGUGUAGGCGGUCCGGUAAGUCCGCUGUGAAAGUCGGGGGCUCAACCCUCGGAUGCCGGUGGAUACUGUCGGGCUUGAGUACGGAAGAGGCGAGUGGAAUUCCUGGUGUAGCGGUGAAAUGCGCAGAUAUCAGGAGGAACACCAAUUGCGAAGGCAGCUCGCUGGGACGGUACUGACGCUGAGACGCGAAAGCGUGGGGAGCGAACAGG
rnacentral:rRNA from 1 species